rnacentral:rRNA from 1 species
UCUGCUCAAUGAUUUUUUAAAUUGCUGUGGUAUUUUGACUAUGCAAAGGUAUUGAAAUAAGGUCUUUAAUGGAUGCUAAGAGAAUGGUUUAACGGGGGUUAACUUUCUUAACUUUUAUAUUAGAGGUUAAUUUAAAAAUGAAAAAGUUUUUAUAAAAUUUUGGGACAAGAAGACCCUAUGAAUUUUUUUAAAAAAUAUCUUUUUAGCUAUGUUUAAUAAUGGAGAAGUUGUUUUUUAAUUGAUUGGGGUGGUUUUUAAAGAUUCAGAAUCUUUAAAAAGAUUAAAUUGAUCCAUUAAUAGUGAUUGGUUGAAUAAAAUACUCUAGGGAUAACAGCGUA